UACGUAGGGAGCGAGCGUUGUCCGGAUUCAUUGGGCGUAAAGAGCUCGUAGGCGGUUCAGUAAGUCGGGUGUGAAAUCUCCGUGCUCAACACGGAGCGGCCACCUGAUACUGCUGUGACUCGAGUCCGGUAGGGGAGUGUGGAAUUCCCGGUGUAGCGGUGAAAUGCGUAGAGAUCGGGCGGAACACCAGCGGCGAAGGCGGCAUCCUGGCCCUAUCCUGACGCUGAGGCGCGAGAGCGUGGGGAGCAAACCGG
rnacentral:rRNA from 1 species